CAGGACAGGGAGUAGCAUCUGCCUGCACAAGCGGAGGCUGCAGUUUCGGGACCGCAGUCAUAGGACCGCAGUUAUAGGACCCUAGGUUUUUAGUGACAACGCCACCUAGCGAACUAGAGGACCAACAAAGAUGGAUGACAAGCAGAGUUGAAGUGGAGGAAUUUAAUCGAAUCAUAGACAAACAAUUGAAAAAAAGAGGGGAGAGCAUCCAGUUGCUGCUGCAUACAUCACAAUGUGUGCUUUAAAUAUUUAAUAUUUAUAUUUAUCUAUCUCUCUCUAUUAUUAUUUUUUAUCUGCUCAGAUGUGCUUUAUUGACAUGAAUGUUUCAAGAACCUUUGAUCCUGUAAUGAACACUAUGCAAUACUAAUAUGAACAUUACUUGGUAUGAAGAUUGAUAUAAUUUUGUACCGUAUAUAAUGUGUGUGCUCUGUGGUGACUAAAAUCUUUAAAGUUUGAAAUCAAAAAUUAAAGAGUUGUUGAACAUGUUCAACUAAAUGUU